GUGGGGAAUAUUGGACAAUGGGCGCAAGCCUGAUCCAGCCAUGCCGCGUGUGUGAAGAAGGCCUUAGGGUUGUAAAGCACUUUCAGCGAGGAGGAAGGGAGUUGUGUUAAUAGCGCAGCUUUUUGACGUUACUCGCAGAAGAAGCACCGGCUAACUCUGUGCCAGCAGCCGCGGUAAUACAGAGGGUGCAAGCGUUAAUCGGAAUUACUGGGCGUAAAGCGCACGCAGGCGGUUGGUUAAGUCAGAUGUGAAAGCCCCGGGCUCAACCUGGGAAUUGCAUUUGAAACUGGCCAACUAGAGUAUGUGAGAGGGGGGUAGAAUUCCAAGUGUAGCGGUGAAAUGCGUAGAGAUUUGGAGGAAUACCAGUGGCGAAGGCGGCCCCCUGGCACAAUACUGACGCUCAGGUGCGAAAGCGUGGGGAGCAAACAGG
rnacentral:rRNA from 1 species